GCAGUGAUCUUUCAGUAGUAGAAUUCUCGCCUUCCAUGCAGGAGACUCAGGUUCAAUUCCUGGCCAAUGCA
rnacentral:tRNA from 1 species